rnacentral:lncRNA from 1 species
AAAAGUCUAUCCCAAUCCUUGGGAUUUUUUUUUUUUUACAAAAAAGUCUAUCCCAAUUCUUGGGAUUUUUAAAAAAAGUCUUUCCCGAUGUUGUGAUUUUUAAAAAAAAAUUAGUCUAUCCCAAUUCUUGGGAUUUUUUUAAAAAAAGUCUAUCCCGAUGUUGGGAUUUUUUAAAAAGUCUAUCCCAAUGUUGGGAAUAAAGUCUAUCCCAAUCCUUGGGAUUUUUUAAAAAGUCUAUCCCAAUGUUGGGAAAAAAGUCUAUCCCAAUCCUUGGGAUUUUUUAAAAAAGUCUAUCCCAAUUCUUGGGAUUUUUUAAAAAGUCUAUCCCAAUGUUGGGAAUAAAGUCUAUCCCAAUCCUUGGGAUUUUUUAAAAAGUCUAUCCCAAUGUUGGGAAAAAAGUUUAUCCCAAUCCUUGGAAUUUUUUUAAAAAGUCUAUCCCAC